AUUGAACGCUGGCGGCAUGCCUUACACAUGCAAGUCGAACGGUAACAGGUCUUCGGAUGCUGACGAGUGGCGCACGGGUGAGUAAUACAUCGGAACGUGCCCGAUCGUGGGGGAUAACGAGGCGAAAGCUUUGCUAAUACCGCAUACGAUCUACGGAUGAAAGCGGGGGAUCUUCGGACCUCGCGCGGGCGGAGCGGCCGAUGGCAGAUUAGGUAGUUGGUGGGAUAAAAGCUUACCAAGCCGACGAUCUGUAGCUGGUCUGAGAGGAUGAUCAGCCACACUGGGACUGAGACACGGCCCAGACUCCUACGGGAGGCAGCAGUGGGGAAUUUUGGACAAUGGGCGAAAGCCUGAUCCAGCCAUGCCGCGUGCAGGAUGAAGGCCUUCGGGUUGUAAACUGCUUUUGUACGGAACGAAAAGCCUCUUUCUAAUAAAGAGAGGUCAUGACGGUACCGUAAGAAUAAGCACCGGCUAACUACGUG
rnacentral:rRNA from 1 species